rnacentral:rRNA from 1 species
GUCCACGCCGUAAACGUUGGGUGCUAGGUGUCGCGGGUAUUGACCCCUGCGGUGCCGUCGCUAACGCAUUAAGCACCCCGCCUGGGGAGUACGGUCGCAAGGCUAAAACUCAAAGGAAUUGACGGGGCCCGCACAAGCGGUGGAGCAUGUGGUUUAAUUCGAAGCAACGCGCAGAACCUUACCUGGGCUUGACAUCCGCGGAACCGCCUCGAAAGAGGUGGGUGCCUUCGGGAGCCGCGAGACAGGUGCUGCAUGGCUGUCGU